rnacentral:rRNA from 1 species
AGAGUUUGAUCCUGGCUCAGAUUGAACGCUGGCGGCAUGCCUAACACAUGCAAGUCGAACGGCAGCAUGAGAGAGCUUGCUCUCUUGAUGGCGAGUGGCGGACGGGUGAGGAAUGCAUCGGAAUCUGCCCAGUCGUGGGGGAUAACCCGGGGAAACCCGGACUAAUACCGCAUACGACCUUCGGGUGAAAGCGGGGGACCCUUCGGGGCCUCGCGCGAUUGGAUGAGCCGAUGCCGGAUUAGCUUGUUGGCGGGGUAAUGGCCCACCAAGGCGACGAUCCGUAGCUGGUCUGAGAGGAUGAUCAGCCACACUGGGACUGAGACACGGCCCAGACUCCUACGGGAGGCAGCAGUGGGGAAUAUUGGACAAUGGGGGCAACCCUGAUCCAGCAAUGCCGCGUGUGUGAAGAAGGCCUUCGGGUUGUAAAGCACUUUUAUCGGGAACGAAACAUUGUCGGCCAAUACCCGGCAAGACUGACGGUACCCGAGGAAUAAGCACCGGCUAACUCCGUGCCAGCAGCCGCGGUAAUAC